rnacentral:sRNA from 1 species
UUUUCUAAGUUUUUUGACAGGAGUUACAAGAAAAUAAGUAGCGGAAAAAUAAAUUUACAAAAAACACAGACAUAAAUAAAUAGUAAUGGAGGAAAACGUUAACCAAAAGCGGAAAUAAGAGAAGAAACACCGAUUCCGAAAAGCUAAACUUGGAAAUUUGCAUGAUUUCCACAACUCGAAGAUACCAAAAAGUUAGAGUCUCAUCCUAUUUGCUACGAGCAAACCUUUGCAGAAGCCCGUCUUCAAAACUUCUCGAUAAAAUGUGUACAGCUUCUUUGCAAACUAACGCAAAAACGCAAAAACAACUAUAGGGCUAACACACAAAUUCGACAGUUACAGAAGCAUCUACGGGUAACCAAAGAAACCACCUUCGGCCACCAUUCGUAUCACAACAAUAGGAACCAUCUCUCAUAGAUAAGCGAUGCCUCGAAAACCAACAUGCCGCCUCUAUUAUUCCGUAAAGACUCCACUCCAACAUGACGCACAACAUCAC